AGUGCUACGGAAAACUCGCGAUAGCACCAGGUCGGGAAGAUGUUGCGGAAAACUCGCAGCAACACCAGGUCGGGGAAAGUAUUGCGGAAAACUCGCAGCAACACCAGGUCGGGGAAAGUAUUGCGGAAAACUCGCAGCAAUACCAGGUCGGGGAAAGUAUUGCGGAAAACUCGCAGCAAUACCAGGUCGGGAGAGUGUUGCGGAAAACUCGCAGCAACACCAGGUCGGGGAAAGUAUUGCGGAAAACUCGCAGCAAUACCAGGUCGGGAGAGUGUUGCGGAAAACUCGCAGCAACACCAGGUCGGGAGAUUGGAUGAAAAUUUAUUUCACAAAAUAAAAUCAAAGUCCCA